GCGGGCACCUGUAAAUCCAGCUACUCAGGAGUCUGAGGCAGGAAAAUCACCUGAACCCGGGAGGCAGGGGUUGCAGUGAGCCGAGAUCGUGCCAUUGCACUCCAGCCUGUGCAGCAAGAGUGAAGCUCUGUCUCAAAAAAAAAAAAAAAAAAAGAAAAAAGAAAAGAGGUUUAAUUGCCUCACGGUUCUUUUGAGACAGAAUCUCUGUCAUCCAGGCUGGAGUGCAGUGGCGUGAUCCCAGCUUACUGCAACCUCCGCCUCCGGCUUUAAGUGAUUCUUCCUGCCUCAGCCUCCUGAGUAGCUGAGAUUACAGGUGCGUACCACCACGCCUGGCUAAUUUUUGUAAUUUUUUUUUUUUUAGUAGAGGUGGGGUUUCACCACGUUGGCCAGGUUGGUUUUGAACUGCUAACCUCAAGUGAUCCACCCACCUCUGCCUCCCAAAGUGCUGGGAUUACAGGCGUGAGCCACCACAACCAGCCUCCCUUUUGUCAGCUUAUCACCCCACCCUUAUGACCUUAUUUAACCUUAAUUACCUCCCAAAGGCCCUGUCUCCAAAUACAGUCCCUGUUGGAGGUCAGAGCUUCAGCAUAUGAAUUUAGUCAUGGGUAGGUGACACAAUUCAGUCCAUAACAGAUGGUCAAAGUCUGACCCAUAGUGUUCAACAGCUGCUGUUAGUUACUCUCCUUGGCUAGUAGUAUGCCUUGAGGCAUUAAAGAACAAACACACAAAGCUAGUGUGGUGUAGGAGGCACCCUGAGAAGUUCUGUGAUGGGCUCUGUCUCCUGGUGCUGCAGAGGAAGGCAUUUGUGUGUAAGUGACUGGUGGCCUCAACCAUGGGAGGGUCUCAGAUUUCAACAUCCUCCUAAAUCCCUUGGGGGUGUUUUUGUGGAAUUCAGAUUCUGCCUAACAGGCUGGGGAGGUACAGGCUAAGGGCCUACAUUUCUUUUCUUUUUCUUUUUUGAGACACAGUCUCACUUUGUCACCCAGGUGAGGCGAUCAUGGCUCAAUGUAGCCUCAACCUCCCCCAGGCUCAAGCGAUCCUCCCACCUCAGCCUCCUGGGACUACAGGCACAUACCACCACAGCUGGCUAAUGUAUUUUUUUGUAGAGACGAGGUUUCACUAUGUUGCCCAGGCUGGUCUUGAACUCCUGGGCUCAAGUGAUCCUCCUGCCUUGGCCUCCCAAAGUGCUGGGGUUAUAGGUGUGAGCCACCACACCUGAUCAAGGACCUAUGUUCCUAAGGAGCUCCCUGGUAAUGCUAAUACUGCUGGUCCACGGACCACACUUUUGAGUAGUGAGGGCCUGUGUUCAGCAGCACAGUAGCCAGGAGCCACGUGUGGCUGUUUCAGUCUCCGUCUUAGUUAAAUAAAACUAGAAAAUCCAGUGCCUCAGUGACUGUAAUUGCAUUGCAUGGAGGAAAGUUCUAAUUGGGCAGUGCCACAUCUUAAAGGACCGAAUGAUCCACUUUUUCUUUACUUUUAAAUUUUCUUUCUUUAUAUUUUUAGAGACAGGGUCUUGCUCUGUAGCUGAAGCUGGAGUGCAGUGGCACUAUCUUAGCUCACUGCAGCCUAAACCUCCUGAGCUCAAGCUGUCCUCCCACAUCAGCCUCCUGAGUAGCUGGGACUACAGGCACAUGCUACCACACCCAGCUAUUUUUUUAUUUUUUUUGUAGAGAUGGGGUCUCACUAUGUUGCCCAGGCUGGUCUUGAACUCCCAGGCUCAAGCAGUCCUCCCACCUCAGCCUCCCAAAGUGCCAGGAUUAUAGGCAUGGGCCAUUGUGCCUGGCUAGCUUUUUCUUUAAAGCCGUAUUCGUGUCCUCUUGCCACUGUAAAAAAUAACCACAAACUUCGUGGUGUCAAACAAAACAAAUUUAGUCUGGCUAACAUGGUGAGACCUUGUCUCUACUAAAAAUACAAAAACUUAGCUGGGUGUGGUGGCGCAUGCCUGUAAUUCCAGCUACAUGGGAAGCUGAGGCAGGAGAAUCGCUUGAACCCGGGAGGCAGAGGUUGCAGUGAGUCGAGGUCAUACCACUGUACUCCAGCCUGGGUGACAGAGUGAGACUCUCAAAAAAAAAAAUUCCACAAAUUUAUUCUUUACAAUUCUGGAAGUCAAAAGUACAGAAUGGGUCUCUGUAGGCUAGCAUCAAUGUGUCCGCAUAGCUGGUUCCUUCUGGAGGCUCUCAGGGAGAAAUUUUCCUCGCCUUCUCCAGCUUUUAGAGGCUGCCCACAUCCUUGGUUCACGGCCUCUUCCUCCAUCUUCCAGGCAACCAAUAGCCUGUCAAGUCUUCCUCAUGACACCCUGUCUCCUAAUUCUGACUCCUCUACCUCUUUCUUCCCCAUUUAAGGACGCUUGUGACUCCAUUGGGGCCACCAGGAGAAUCCAGCAGUCAGUUGAUGAGUUAUGUUAAUUUCACCUGUACCCUUAAUUAUCCCUUGCCAUGACAUAUUUACAGGUUCUGGGGAUUGGGAUGGGGACAUUUAGGGGAGUAGGGGCAAGUACUCUGCUAACACAGGGUCAAAUUGUGUAUACAUACAUAUAUAUAUAUAUAUAUAUAUAUUUUUUUUUUUUUUUUUGAGACAGGGUCUUGCUCUGUUGCCCAGGCUGGAUUGCAGUGGUACAAUCUGGGCCCAUUGCAACCUCUCCCUCCCAGGUUUAAGCGACUCUCCUGCCUCAGCUUCCCAAGUAGCUGGGAUUACAGGCGCCUGCCACCAGGCCCAGCUAAAUUUUUUGUCGUUCUCUUAGAGAUGGGAUUUCACCAUGUUGGCCAGGCUGGUCUCAAACUCCUGACCUCAAGUGAUCCGCCCGCCUCGGCCUCUCAAAGUGCUGAGAUUACUGGCGUGAGCCACUGCACCUGGCUACUCUCUUGAUGUUGCCUUCUGUGUUGGGGCACAACUCUGCACCUUUGUUUCUGGGAAGCUCCAUUGGCUAGGGUGAGUUUGUUGUUUUUUUCCUUCAGAUCCACCCUCCUAGUUGGUUUUGGACAUCAGCACCUUGGUCCUCUCCUGUCUGCUCUUUGGGG
rnacentral:lncRNA from 1 species